rnacentral:rRNA from 1 species
UACGUAGGGCGCAAGCGUUGUCCGGAAUUAUUGGGCGUAAAGAGCUCGUAGGUGGCUUGUCGCGUCUGCCGUGAAAGCCCAUGGCUUAACUGUGGGUCUGCGGUGGAUACGGGCAGGCUGGAGGCUGGUAGGGGCAAGCGGAAUUCCUGGUGUAGCGGUGAAAUGCGUAGAUAUCAAGAGGAACACCUGAGGUGAAGACGGGUUGCUGGGCUGACACUGACGCUGAGGCGCGAAAGCCAGGGGAGCAAACGGG